rnacentral:sRNA from 1 species
GCCGGGCACAGUGGCCAUGCCUGUGAUCCCAGCAACUCAGGGGGCUGAGGUAGGAGGACCACAAGUUUGAGGUCAACCUCAACAAUUUAGUGAGACUCUAUCUCAA